GACGAACGCUGGCGGCGUGCCUAAUACAUGCAAGUAGAACGCUGAAGAGAGGAGCUUGCUCUUCUUGGAUGAGUUGCGAACGGGUGAGUAACGCGUAGGUGACCUGCCUUGUGGCGGGGGAUAACUAUUGGAAACGAUAGCUAAUACCGCAUAACAAUGGAUGACACAUGUCAUUUAUUUGAAAGGGGCAAUUGCUCCACUACAAGAUGGACCUGCGUUGUAUUAGCUAGUAGGUGAGGUAACGGCCCACCUAGGCGACGAUACAUAGCCGACCUGAGAGGGUGAUCGGCCACACUGGGACUGAGACACGGCCCAGACUCCUACGGGAGGCAGCAGUAGGGAAUCUUCGGCAAUGGGGGCAACCCUGACCGAGCAACGCCGCGUGAGUGAAGAAGGUUUUCGGAUCGUAAAGCUCUGUUGUAAGUCAAGAACGAGUGUGAGAGUGGAAAAUUCACACUGUGACGGUAGCUUACCAGAAAGGGACGGCUAACUACGUGCCAGCAGCCGCGGUAAUACGUAGGUCCCGAGCGUUGUCCGGAUUUAUUGGGCGUAAAGCGAGCGCAGGCGGUUUGAUAAGUCUGAAGUUAAAGGCUGUGGCUCAACCAUAGUUCGCUUUGGAAACUGUCAAACUUGAGUGCAGAAGGGGAGAGUGGAAUUCCAUGUGUAGCGGUGAAAUGCGUAGAUAUAUGGAGGAACACCGGUGGCGAAAGCGGCUCUCUGGUCUGUAACUGACGCUGAGGCUCGAAAGCGUGGGGAGCGAACAGGAUUAGAUACCCUGGUAGUCCACGCCGUAAACGAUGAGUGCUAGGUGUUGGAUCCUUUCCGGGAUUCAGUGCCGCAGCUAACGCAUUAAGCACUCCGCCUGGGGAGUACGACCGCAAGGUUGAAACUCAAAGGAAUUGACGGGGGCCCGCACAAGCGGUGGAGCAUGUGGUUUAAUUCGAAGCAACGCGAAGAACCUUACCAGGUCUUGACAUCCCGAUGCUAUUUCUAGAGAUAGAAAGUUACUUCGGUACAUCGGUGACAGGUGGUGCAUGGUUGUCGUCAGCUCGUGUCGUGAGAUGUUGGGUUAAGUCCCGCAACGAGCGCAACCCCUAUUGUUAGUUGCCAUCAUUCAGUUGGACACUCUAGCGAGACUGCCGGUAAUAAACCGGAGGAAGGUGGGGAUGACGUCAAAUCAUCAUGCCCCUUAUGACCUGGGCUACACACGUGCUACAAUGGUUGGUACAACGAGUUGCGAGUCGGUGACGGCAAGCUAAUCUCUUAAAGCCAAUCUCAGUUCGGAUUGUAGGCUGCAACUCGCCUACAUGAAGUCGGAAUCGCUAGUAAUCGCGGAUCAGCACGCCGCGGUGAAUACGUUCCCGGGCCU
rnacentral:rRNA from 1 species